rnacentral:rRNA from 1 species
AACGAACGCUGGCGGCAUGCCUAACACAUGCAAGUCGAACGAGACCUUCGGGUCUAGUGGCGCACCGGUGCGUAACGCGUGGGAACCUGCCCUUAGGUUCCGUAUCAUUCCCCUAAAGGGGUGUUAAUACCGGAUAAUGUCUUCGGACCAAAGAUUUAUUGCCUUUGGCUGGGCCCGCGUUGGUUUAGCUAGUUGGUAGGGUAAAAGCCUACCAAGGCGACGAUCCAUAGCUGGUCUGAGAGGAUGAGCAGCCACACUGGGACUGAGACACGGCCCAGACUCCUACGGGAGGCAGCAGUGGGGAAUAUUGGACAAUGGGCGAAAGCCUGAUCCAGCAAUGCCGCGUGAGUGAUGAAGGCCUUAGGGUUGUAAAGCUCUUUUACCCGGGAUGAUAAUGACAGUACCGGGAGAAUAAGCUCCGGCUAACUCCGUG